GCGGAACCCACCGAACGCGCAUGCGUGCAAGCCAGGGCGGGGCUAGGGCGCGCGCGCAAAGGAGGGGCUCUACCAUCCGCGGAGCCACGCCCUCCGUCACAUCCCACCUCCCCGCCCAGGAGCUUCCGCGAGGCUCGCCCGGCAGCUCCUGCUCCACAGCAGGCUUCCUACUUUGACGCCUCACGCGCUCUUCAGCUCUCUUUUUCUGUGGGUCUCGCGGCUCUCCCCCUCUACAAUUACGAGUAGUGCCUUGAGCCGGGCGUUCGGAGACCCACACAGGAGGGACAGGAUGGGGAGAGCGGCAUUAAAGGGUGGUGACUCAGGAGUUCAAGACCAGCCUGGCCAACAUGACGAAACCCCGUCUCUACCAAAAAUACAAAAAUUAGCCAGGCAUGAUGGCGGACGCCUGUAAUCCCACCUACUCGGGCGGCUGAGGCAGGAGAAUCGCUUGAACCCGGGAGGCGGAGGUUGCAGUGAGGCGAGAUAGCGCCACUACACUCCAGCCUGGGCGACAGAGCGAGACUCCGUCUCAAAAUAAAAAUAAAAAAAAAAUAAAGGCGGGGUGGUGGUGGUGACAAGCCCCUAUUACGGCCUUAGUGCGGGAUUCCCCUUGGGGCGGGAGACGUCGUCCUUCCGGGUGCGGGUGCGGACUGCAAGUCCUAUCGGGGACCGCGACACCGGACUGCAUCCGCCAGCGUCCAGGGCGUAGCGCCCCCCAGGCGCUGCCUUCGUCCAUCUCUACGGGGAGUGGCGGCCAGAAGACUGGGUUUUCCCCGUGCAGCUGUGCCCCACGUUGGGGAAACUGACUUUUCAGAGUAAAAGCCAAGACCUUAAAAUGGUUCCAAAGUCCCAACAUAAUCUGGCCCCGUUACUCCAGGAACACUGGCCUUUUUGCUGUUUUCCAAACCUGCCAGAGUGCUUGGGGAGGAUGGUGGGAAGGAAUGAAGAGGACAAGGACAGACUCGUCUGCCUCAAUACAUCCACAUAGUGGACACCACUGUCUUUUGGGAAGCUUCCCCCUCUCUCAGGAGUACGUGAGUAAGUUGUUUCCCUGGCUACCUUCCUGGGGAACCAAAGUUUGCGGGGAAAGAACACAUCAAAGUGCUUGUUGCAAAGAAGAACCUCCUCUUUAUUCCACAUAUAGAAGCUGUGUUUCCAGAGCUGGGAAAGGGCUUCGACCUGGCCCUACCUCUGUGUGGGCCUAGAGAUGAAGGUCUAGGGCCGGGCGUGGUGGCUCACACCUGUAAUCCCAGCUACUUGGGAGGCUGAGGCAUGAGAUUUGCUUGAACCCGGGAGGCGGAGGUUGCGGUGAGCUGAGAUCGUGUCAUUGCACUCCAGCCUGGGCAAUAAGAGUGAAACACCGUCUCAAAAAA
rnacentral:lncRNA from 10 species